CGGGACGGGUGAGUAACGCGUGGAGAACCUGCCGUAUACGUGGGGGAUAACACUUAGAAAUAGGUGCUAAUACCGCAUUAAGCGCACAGCUUCGCAUGAAGCAGUGUGAAAAACUCCGGUGGUAUACGAUGGAUCCGCGUCUGAUUAGCUGGUUGGCGGGGUAACAGCCCACCAAGGCGACGAUCAGUAGCCGGCCUGAGAGGGUGAACGGCCACAUUGGGACUGAGACACGGCCCAAACUCCUACGGGAGGCAGCAG
rnacentral:rRNA from 1 species